rnacentral:tRNA from 1 species
GGGCCGUUAGCUCAUCUGGUAGAGCACGAGACUUUUAAUCUUGGGGUGCAGGGUUCGAGUCCCUGACGGCCCACCA